rnacentral:rRNA from 1 species
UACGAAGGGGGCUAGCGUUGUUCGGAUUUACUGGGCGUAAAGGGCGCGUAGGCGGGCUGAUCAGUCAGGGGUGAAAUCCCAAGGCUCAACCUUGGAACUGCCUUUGAUACUGUCGGUCUUGAGUUCGAGAGAGGUAAGUGGAACUGCGAGUGUAGAGGUGAAAUUCGUAGAUAUUCGCAAGAACACCAGUGGCGAAGGCGGCUUACUGGCUCGGAAACUGACGCUGAGGCGCGAAAGCGUGGGGAGCAAACAGG